ACGCUUGAACAGAUGGAUGGUGCUGCGCAAGCAGCUUGAAAGGGAAUGCCGUGCACGGGUUUCUGCCUCAUAUUGAAGCAGAAACUUAUAGUCGGCAGCUGCUCCCGCAACUGUAAGGGGAGGUUAGGCCUGCUGCCGGUUACGGCUAGCCACUGGCCGGUCAUACGGCUGGGAAGGCAAAAGGUCUGAUAACAUCAUAUCCCCAAGCCAGGAGACCUGCCUCCAUCAGGCACAUAAC
rnacentral:ncRNA from 2 species